rnacentral:rRNA from 1 species
GACGAACGCUGGCGGCGUGCUUAACACAUGCAAGUCGAACGGAAAGGCCCUGCUUUUGUGGGGUGCUCGAGUGGCGAACGGGUGAGUAACACGUGAGUAACCUGCCCUUGUCUUUGGGAUAACUUCAGGAAACUGGGGCUAAUACCGGAUAGGAGCUCCUGCUGCAUGGUGGGGGUUGGAAAGUUUCGGCGGUUGGGGAUGGACGCGCGGCUUAUCAGCUUGUUGGUGGGGUAGUGGCUUACCAAGGCUUUGACGGGUAGCCGGCCUGAGAGGGUGACCGGCCACAUGGGGACUGCGAUACGGCCCAGACUCCUACGGGAGGCAGUAGGGGGGAAUAUUGCACAAUGGGCGGAAGCCUGAUGCAGCAACGCCGCGUGCGGGAUGACGGCCUUCGGGUUGUAAACCGCUUUCGCCUGUGACGAAGCGUGAGUGACGGUAAUGGGUAAAGAAGCACCGGCUAACUACGUG